GUAAAGAAAAAAAAAUCCCUGGUGAUCUCGGUGUGACAGCUCAGAGCUCCACGUCAACACACCGAGCAGCAGCGAUGGACUCCACGUCUCUGGAACCUUCCCUCUACACUGUAAAAGCCAUUUUUAUCCUCGACAACGAUGGAAACAGGCUUCUGUCAAAGUACUACGACCCGGAGCUUUACCCCUCCAUGAAGGAGCAGAAGAACUUUGAGAGGAAUGUUUUCAACAAGACGCACAAAGCCGACAAUGAGAUCGCUUUCCUGGAGGGCAUGACCAUCGUGUAUAAGAGCAGCAUAGAUCUCUUCUUCUACGUGGUGGGAAGCGCUCAAGAGAAUGAGCUGAUGCUGAUGUCGGUCCUCAACUGUAUGUUUGAGUCCCUCAGUCACAUCCUCAGGAAAAACGUGGAGCGGAGGUGUUUACUGGACAACAUGGAGGGAGUGUUCCUGGUUGUGGAUGAAAUCAUUGAUGGAGGGGUGAUUCUGGAGAGCGACCCUCAGCAGGUCCUACAGAAGGUCAACUACAGGCUAAUGUCAGAGCCGGCCUAUGGCUUCGUCCUGCUCGAUUACAUCACCGGUAACCUAGAGGCACAGACAGACAGAAGCCAGCUGCUGUAGACAGCCAGACAGACAGACAGAGGGCGGAUGAGAACCCAUUAACUGAGCAGAGCGUGGCCCAGGUUCUGCAGUCGGCCAAGGAGCAGAUCAAGUGGUCCAUACUGAAAUGAUUGUCAAGAAAACUCUAAACAUAACUUCAAGCCCUUAAGUGACUCCUCUUUUAGGGCCAAACUAAAGGGAAAUUCUUUACAUCUGUUGGCCAAUAGGCUGCUUCAUACAGCAAUUAACCGGCCAGUAAAAUGAUUUUUACCCCCCUUUUCUCUUUUUUAGUUUUUCUGUGUGACGCCAUUCUGUUAUUUUGUGUGUAUUUAAUUUAUUUAAUCUGUGAGUGCUGCUAGCCCUCACACAUGGAGAAAUGUUAUUUAGCAGACCAAAUGACAGCCAGGACUUUUACUAAAAACCCAACAGACAAUAAAAAUAAAAGAGCUAGAAAGUUGAAUGAGGAUUAGUCAUCUAGUAGUAUUUAAAUGGAGCAAGACUGGGCUGUUUUGCAGAUUAGUGUCAUAAAUAUACAUUAAGAUUGUUGGGUUUUGUCCCUCAAAACAUGUUACACAUCCAAAUAAUUUAAUAUCAUAUUGUUAGAACAUUAGUUAGUUAUUUUCUGCUACAUUCAGAUCAAGCUGACAAAUAUUUUUCAAUUCAAGCUUUAAAAAAAAAUGAAAUUUGACAUUAAAAUGAUUUGAAUCGCAGCCUUCAAACCAUGUAGUGUUAACGAGCUUGGUGCUAAAUUCAAACUGACAUCAUUAGUGCGCUACAGUUUAAUUAAAAAUAAGAGUUUUUGUAGCUCCUUAAAUAACAGUAAUGUGUUUUGUGAGGCUUUUUUAAGGACCGUAAAGGAAUGUAAUGACACUUUAUGACACUAAGCAAAUGUUAGCAGUGUGUGUAGGAUGCAAGAUGUUACUGUUGCACUGUGUGGAACGCACAAGACUGAAGUCUCUCAUUUAAGUUUAAUGAAUAUCUGUACAUAGAAAUGAGCUGUAGAGUAAACAGGACCUUAAAGGUGAAGAUUUUGUGGCCAGGGUUACAAAGAAGAAUGUCUAUUUUACUGUUACGAUGAGAAUUGGAGAUGUUUAAUAGAUGUAACAUAUUUUCUUAGUUUAUAAAGAGAAAAAAGCCAAAGACAAACUAAUUAUUUUGUUUACAUUUGGAUGUUGCUGAAGCAAAUUGAUAUUUUGUCCAUCUGCUUUUGUGAGACUGAUAAUAAAACUGUAUAUUUGUUCUGGUUUUAAA